GGUUCGAUGGCGUAGUUGGUUAUCGCAUCUGUCUAACAUUGCUAUAUCCUUGUUGUGUUUCACAGAAGGUCUCCGGUUCGAGCCCGGGUUGAAUCA